rnacentral:lncRNA from 1 species
GUGUCUUCCAGAUAUAGCUGGUCUUUAAGUUUUGAGUCUCUAAUGACUCUAAGGCUAUCUCAUUUUCUUUAUAUUAGGAAGGUUCAUUGACUAGAUCAAUCACAACACGUUAGCCCAAGUGAUACACUCACAGCAACACCAUUGCAUCAAGUACAUCUUCAAAAAUGACAUUUUGUUGUAGUUAUUAAUCUAUCACCUUUAGCUGUGUGAAUUAAAUCAAGAUCGAGGACCAACCCAGCAUAUAGUGAAUAAACUCUUCAAUAUAACAACUUUACCCUUUGCGAUGGGGAGUUAGAAGGGGUUUGGGAGGGAGGGACAGAUGGGAAGAAGGAUAGGGGAAGGUUAGCAGUGUGGCCAGAGGACACAGGUGAGAAGGAAAAAGAGAAUACUAGGAAAAUAAAGAAGAACUCCGAAUGAGGACCAAAACAGGGACAAAAAGGGAAGAUGAACAAUGUGGGAGAGCACGAGAGUGAGUGGAAGACAGAAAGGAAAGAGAAAACAAGAAGAAAAUAAAAGAAAAAAAAGGAGAGAAAAACAAAUAUUUGCAAAGAGUAGGAAAAAAAUUAAAGAUAAGAGGAGCAAAAAAAAAAGAGAAAAAAAUAAACUAAUAAUACUAAUUUUGGGAAUAAAAAAAUAAAAUGAAUAUGAAGGGCCUCUUUCAGGGUAUGUCUCUGCCGUCACAAUAGACAGUGUGGGUAGCAGUAUGCAGAUAGAAGUCAAUGAGUCUCAGCGAGCUAGUCGCAGACCCGUGAGAUUCAGGCAGAUUUCUGGCUGCAAGUCCCAAGUUGAGCUCCCUGUCCUCCUGCAGGGUUGAACUCUGCAGAGUUGUAUUGCAGGUUCCAGCUGCCCUUCCCCUGAAGAUAGUCCCUGUCCUGAUGGGAGGUGAAGAUGACUCCAACUUACCCAGUUCAGUGGUCUGGUGGUCCAGUGUCCUCUGCGUCUUUGUAGUGUGGAACCAGUUGACGGAAUCUCCAGGGCAGCUUAUUGGGAUGUAUAGCUCCUGCUCAAGGAUAUUUCUAGAUGACAGCACACUCAGCCUGCCUAAUCGUAGAAACAUGGUGGAGUGGUGAGUACAGGAGGUUGCAGAGGCCCAAGUGAUGGACUCCCACUGAUAAAUCAUCCCAGCAGUGCUGGGUAAUUUCAGCCAUGUGAUUAUCCUCCUCUAUGCUCAGUUUAAGACACUGGGGGCAACUAUAUAUGUAUAUUGAUUUGAAGAGGCUAAAUGUGAAUUUUCAGUUUUUGUUUUAGUCUCAGACUGCAUGGUAGAAGGGAACACCAGUUAGCAAAUAAAGAAUCCUGGGAAAAAUGUACUUCUUUAUUUCAUGCAUUUAUGUUAAACUUAAAGAGAAGAGGUGCUUUCUAUUGGAUGUUUCUAGAAGAAACAAUUAGUUCUGUGUGAGUUACAGGCCUAAAACAGUGUCUAAUACUUUAGAAAUGAGUCUCGGAAGAAGGGACAGCCUUUCUUCUGUCGGUGCCGCAGUAUAUCAGCAUUUGAAUGCUCUCCAUCGUAUGUGAGCAGCUCACCAGUAUCAUAAACUCAGCACCAUAACAAAUGAAAGAUACAAAGUUUAGAAAGCAGGAUGCUUCAUUGGAAAGGGAGAAAAAGGAGAAGAUAGAUAGCUGCCCUGACAAGAAUCAGGGCAGGGGGCUCCGGAAAGAUGGAGGACCUGUGGCCUUUGUUCUUGGCUGCUUUUAUUGGGUGCCAAGGACUCUUUGCCUACCUGGAACUUGCCAUAACCCAACUGGUUCCCUGGGCGGUCUUGGCAUUAGACUGAGCCCCCUUGCCUCCGUCAUUGUCAUUUCUUGGGGGGAGGGGUCCAUGUAACUUCUGUCUAUUUGUCCUUGAACAGUGUCUUAUCUCCAGGGUGGCAGGUGACUGGCUAGGAGGUGCAUAUUCAUGGUUAGUUUAGAGUUAGUAAGGGGAGGUGUGGGUCUCUGUUGUAGUAGUUAUAUAGUGGCCCUAGAGUGGAUACGAGUGUGUGUGUGUGUGUCUGUGUGUUAGUUCACCCCUGUAUACACUGAAUAGAGCUUUCCCCAGAGUUAGCCAGCCCCCUCCACCUUCUGCUUCCCCUGCAUUCUAUUGGAAGCAGAGAGGGACGGCUGGCCUUGGCUUUGUGCACUUGGCUUUCUCUGUCCUCUGCUUGUCAGCUCUUUCUCUGGUUUUGGGUGCAAGUUCCAAGGCCAUUUGGUGCCUUUCUUUUGAAGUGUUUUUUCUUUUCUCUACCCUUGAGCUUGAGACUGUUCUCAGGGGAAUUUUCCCAGUAAAGUUUUAACUCCUUCUAGUUAGGAUUAGCCAGAAAACCUAAUGAGCCCCCUAUUUUAUUCUUUCCCUGCCUACAGACCCCUUCCCCCUACACUGAUGGGUCACAAUCAGAGAUAUGCAAUGAGAAGACCCUGACAGGAAUCUUUCAAACUUAUUAAAAGCCAGGUGCAGAACUUCCCCACCGAGUUGGGGUUCUCCAGGGAACAUUAUCCAUGUCCCUUGGGGUUAUGAGUUUUGGUUUUCAGAAUGUAGCUUAUAUUUCUUUAGAAUGUUAAUGCCCUUAUCCUUCAUUUCACUUUUUCAGUCAAAAAAUGUAAAUAACAUAAGAAUUUAAUUUUGUUUCUCAUAUGUCAGCUUUUCUUUUUAGCUGAUCAUCAGCACAGUGGUACCUUGGUUCACAAACUUAAUUCUUUGCACAGUUCUGGUCAAAAACCAAAUUGGAUGAAAGCUAAUCAAAUUCUUUUUUCUUUUUUUUUUUUUUUGGCACGGGGGAUCGAACUCGGGACCUCAUGCUUACAAGGCAGGCGCCAGAACCACUGAGCUAAAUUCCCAGCCCCAGCUAAUCAAAUUCAAUGGUUAGGUCUAAUGUUGACCUGACCUUAUGGGGAAAUUUG